rnacentral:rRNA from 1 species
GAGGAGCCCAGAGCCUGAAUCAGUGUGUGUGUUAGUGGAAGCGUCUGGAAAGGCGCGCGAUACAGGGUGACAGCCCCGUACACAAAAAUGCACAUAUUGUGAGCUCGAUGAGUAGGGCGGGACACGUGGUAUCCUGUCUGAAUAUGGGGGGACCAUCCUCCAAGGCUAAAUACUCCUGACUGACCGAUAGUGAACCAGUACCGUGAGGGAAAGGCGAAAAGAACCCCGGCGAGGGGAGUGAAAAAGAACCUGAAACCGUGUACGUACAAGCAGUGGGAGCCUCUUAAUGGGGUGACUGCGUACCUUUUGUAUAAUGGGUCAGCGACUUAUAUUCUGUAGCAAGGUUAACCGAAUAGGGGAGCCGAAGGGAAACCGAGUCUUAACUGGGCGUUAAGUUGCAGGGUAUAGACCCGAAACCCGGUGAUCUAGCCAUGGGCAGGUUGAAGGUUGGGUAACACUAACUGGAGGACCGAACCGACUAAUGUUGAAAAAUUAGCGGAUGACUUGUGGCUGGGGGUGAAAGGCCAAUCAAACCGGGAGAUAGCUGGUUCUCCCCGAAAGCUAUUUAGGUAGCGCCUCGUGAAUUCAUCUCCGGGGGUAGAGCACUGUUUCGGCAAGGGGGUCAUCCCGACUUACCAACCCGAUGCAAACUGCGAAUACCGGAGAAUGUUAUCACGGGAGACACACGGCGGGUGCUAACGUCCGUCGUGAAGAGGGAAACAACCCAGACCGCCAGCUAAGGUCCCAAAGUCAUGGUUAAGUGGGAAACGAUGUGGGAAGGCCCAGACAGCCAGGAUGUUGGCUUAGAAGCAGCCAUCAUUUAAAGAAAGCGUAAUAGCUCACUGGUCGAGUCGGCCUGCGCGGAAGAUGUAACGGGGCUAAACCAUGCACCGAAGCUGCGGCAGCGACACUAUGUGUUGUUGGGUAGGGGAGCGUUCUGUAAGCCUGUGAAGGUGGCCUGUGAGGGUUGCUGGAGGUAUCAGAAGUGCGAAUGCUGACAUAAGUAACGAUAAAGCGGGUGAAAAGCCCGCUCGCCGGAAGACCAAGGGUUCCUGUCCAACGUUAAUCGGGGCAGGGUGAGUCGACCCCUAAGGCGAGGCCGAAAGGCGUAGUCGAUGGGAAACAGGUUAAUAUUCCUGUACUUGGUGUUACUGCGAAGGGGGGACGGAGAAGGCUAUGUUGGCCGGGCGACGGUUGUCCCGGUUUAAGCGUGUAGGCUGGUUUUCCAGGCAAAUCCGGAAAAUCAAGGCUGAGGCGUGAUGACGAGGCACUACGGUGCUGAAGCGACAAAUGCCCUGCUUCCAGGAAAAGCCUCUAAGCAUCAGGUAACAUCAAAUCGUACCCCAAACCGACACAGGUGGUCAGGUAGAGAAUACCAAGGCGCUUGAGAGAACUCGGGUGAAGGAACUAGGCAAAAUGGUGCCGUAACUUCGGGAGAAGGCACGCUGAUAUGUAGGUGAAGCGACUUGCUCGUGGAGCUGAAAUCAGUCGAAGAUACCAGCUGGCUGCAACUGUUUAUUAAAAACACAGCACUGUGCAAACACGAAAGUGGACGUAUACGGUGUGACGCCUGCCCGGUGCCGGAAGGUUAAUUGAUGGGGUUAGCGGUAACGCGAAGCUCUUGAUCGAAGCCCCGGUAAACGGCGGCCGUAACUAUAACGGUCCUAAGGUAGCGAAAUUCCUUGUCGGGUAAGUUCCGACCUGCACGAAUGGCGUAAUGAUGGCCAGGCUGUCUCCACCCGAGACUCAGUGAAAUUGAACUCGCUGUGAAGAUGCAGUGUACCCGCGGCAAGACGGAAAGACCCCGUGAACCUUUACUAUAGCUUGACACUGAACAUUGAGCCUUGAUGUGUAGGAUAGGUGGGAG